rnacentral:rRNA from 1 species
UUAGAGUUUGAUCCUGGCUCAGGAUGAACGCUAGCGGCAGGCCUAACACAUGCAAGUCGAGGGGUAACAGGUGUAGCAAUACAUGCUGACGACCGGCGGACGGGUGAGUAACGCGUAUGCAAUCUGCCUCUGACUGAGGGAUAGCCCAGAGAAAUCUGAAUUAAUACCUCAUAACAUCAUGAUUGGACAUCCUUCUAUGAUUAAAGCUCCGGCGGUCAGAGAUGAGCAUGCGUGCCAUUAGUUAGUUGGCGGGGUAACAGCCCACCAAGACUGCGAUGGCUAGGGGGUCUGAGAGGAUGAUCCCCCACACUGGUACUGAGACACGGAUCAGACUCCUACGGGAGGCAGCAGUGAGGAAUAUUGGGCAAUAGGCGCAAGCCUGACCCAGCCAUGCCGCGUGCAGGAUGAAGGCCCUAUGGGUCGUAAACUGCUUUUAUACGGGACGAAUCCCUCGGACGUGUCCGGGGCUGACGGUACCGUAAGAAUAAGCAUCGGCUAACUCCGUGCCAGCAGCCGCGGUAAUACGGAGGAUGCAAGCGUUAUCCGGAUUCAUUGGGUUUAAAGGGUGCGUAGGCGGAACGAUAAGUCAGCGGUGAAAUCCUGCAGCUUAACUGUAGAAUUGCCAUUGAUACUGCCGUUCUUGAAUGCGGUUGAGGCAGGCGGAAUGUGUAUUGUAGCGGUGAAAUGCGUAGAUAUUACACAGAACACCUAUUGCGUAGGCAGCCUGCUAAGCCGUGAUUGACGCUGAGGCACGAAAGCGUGGGGAGCAAACAGGAUUAGAUACCCUGGUAGUCCACGCUGUAAACGAUGAUCACUCGCUGUUGGCGAUAUACCGUUCAGCGGCUAAGCGAAAGCAUUAAGUGAUCCACCUGGGGAGUACGACGGCAACGUUGAAACUCAAAGGAAUUGACGGGGGCCCGCACAAGCGGAGGAACAUGUGGUUUAAUUCGAUGAUACGCGAGGAACCUUACCUGGGCUUAAAUGGGAGACGACGUCUCGGGAAACCGGGAUUCCCUUCGGGGCGGCUCUCAAGGUGCUGCAUGGUUGUCGUCAGCUCGUGCCGUGGGGUGUCGGGUUAAGUCCCAUAACGAGCGCAACCCCUAUCGUUAGUUGCCAGCGGGUAAUGCCGGGGACUCUAGCGAAACUGCCAGCGUAAGCUGUGAGGAAGGUGGGGAUGACGUCAAAUCAGCACGGCCCUUACGCCCAGGGCAACACACGUGUUACAAUGGCCGGUACAAAGGGCAGCUACUGGGCGACCAGAUGCUAAUCUCUAAAACCGGUCUUAGUUCGGAUUGAAGUCUGAAACUCGACUUCAUGAAGUUGGAUUCGCUAGUAAUCGCGCAUCAGCUAUGGCGCGGUGAAUCCGUUCCCGGGCCUUGCACUCACCGCCCGUCAAG